UUCUAAUAGUUUAAUUUAAAAUUUUGAUCUUGUAAAUCAAGGACACCUAUGUUUAGAACAU
rnacentral:tRNA from 1 species